CCAUAUCCUCUAGUGGUUUUCUGAGAAAGGAUACAUACAAGCUUUCAGGACGUGUUGAAGUCUGAAGCCAUUCCAAUCCUGAAAUGUUUGUAUUCAUUUUAUCUGGGAAAUUUAGGAUUUUCUUUGUCCCUAGUGUUCUGAAGUUUCACAAUAGUAUACAUUGUGGAGGUCUAUUUUCAUUUAUCUCCUGAACCCUUGGUGGGCCCCAUUCACUUUAGAAACAUAGCCUCUGGGAAAUUUUCUUGAAUCAUAUCUUUAUCUAACUCUCCUCCAUUUUCUAUUCUAUUUCUAGAAUUCCUAUUAUUCAGAUGUUAGACAUCUAGUGAUCUUUUAAUUUUCUUAUUUCCUCUCCCAUUUUUCACUUUUGUAAUUUUGUUCUAUUUCUAGGGGAACUUCUUCAACUUUAUCUGCCAACCCAUAUGUUUUUUAUUUUAGCCAUUCCAUUUAAUUUGUAAGCCCUUUUCUCUGAGUGCUCUUUUUUUAAAAAAAGAAAAGUAUCCUAUUUAUAUUUCAAGGAUACAAUCUUAUCUCUGAGGAUAUUAAUUAGUUUUCUGGGGUUUUCUCUUCACAUUGCCUUUGUCCUCCACAUUUCAUCUUGCAGUUUUUCUUUUGUUCUUUAUCUGUGAGGUGUCUGACGUAAUAACUUCUCUGCGUUGGUCGAGUUUUCCUUCGGUCCCUGUGCUGUGUGCUGCAGGCCUCCCUCAGGAGCCCCGGGAGGCUGGCUGUGGGCUCCCAGUUGAGAGUAGGCACUGAAGAGCUGAGGGAAGUCCUGAGCCUGUGGCUGUGGCUUCGACAUGUGGCUCAGCCUCAUCUUUAAGGAGCCACCAGAGACACUGCCUUUUGGUCUUUCCUCUCAGCUGGUCCUGCUUCCAGGAGGUUCUUCUGUUUUCCUGCCUGAGGGGAAUAGGGCCUCCAUGCUGGGAGCUGAGAGGGGUCUGGAGCUUGGGUCUCAGUAGAAUGUAGACACCUGUUCACGCCCCGCCUCCUGCCUCCAUUUUCAGUGCAGAGAAGAGUCUGGCCUCCUCUGCCAGUGGGAGGGAGGAGGUGCAGGCAGUCAGCUGUCUGGGGGAGGGGGCUCUGUCUGACUCCCAGCAGGGGAGUUUAAUCAGUCUUCUGCUCUUAGCCCCAUCUUUACUUCCAUGGCACCUCCGCACCUGCUACCUGAUGCCAGAAACCUGAGAUGUUCUUGAGGUUCUGCCACGUGGAUCGAGCAGCUUGUGGGCUUUCCCGGCUGCUGGUUAGGAUUCGGUCCCUUGGCUUCCCUCCUCUGCCGGGCCACUUACUAUGUGGCCACCGGCAUUCUCGUUUCCCAGAUCUUGUUCCUGUUUCCUCUCACAUGAUUGUUGUUCUUGUCGGCUGAUGCCUUAAAAAACCCCUUUGUUGUUACCUUGUGGGGUGUGGGGAGAGGGCAUGAGUGGGUCUGUUCUUCCACCUGCCAUCCAGCCUUUCCUUUCAUUUGUAUUUAUUUGUAAGUUUGAACAUCUUUUCACGCAUUUGUUGGCUUAUCUCCCCCUACUUCUCUGGCUUUUUAAAAAGUCCUUGCCCCAUUUCUCAGUGGAGUUGUUAUUGUCUUGUUAUUCAAUAUUGAGAACAUUUAUUUUCACCCAGUCACUGAACAUCAUUUCUACCUGCCCCUAGUUUGCUUCUUGGGGGAAAUUUUUCCUAGGUGACUGAAGUGUAUUCAGAGAUGCCCCAUCCUGGGUGCAGUGAAGGUCCCCUCACCCUGGGCACGGAGGGCUGCAUCCGGGUCGAGGUGGGUGGGAGGCUCACCCACACAAAGCAUUACAUGGGUCGUCUGGCCCCUCAGCAGCUGGCACCCCACUUCUGUCUGCUCUGCAUCGCCAGCCUCUCUUGCCUCUGGAAGCAUCUCUUUAAACAUCCGCAUUCCCACCUGCGUCCUGUUCACAAUCUAAACUGCCCUCCACAUCCCGACCUCACGUCUUCAGGUGUGCGUGCCCACUCACAGCACAGCUGGGCCUCAGCCCCCUGGCGGGCAGCUGCCUGCCCCCUCCCAGGGCUGUCUCUGUGCAGUGACUCUUCUACCAGAGUGGGGCAGGACUCAGCCCAGCUGUUCUCUUCCCUCACGUCUGUGCUUUGGCCUGUCCCUCACAAUGUCUCCUGGAAGGAAGGGAGCGGGAUGGAGCACCGAGUUUCCUUAUUUGCUCUGCCUUUUUCUUGCUUUAGCCCUGGGAAUCCGUCUACUCUCAGGAAGGAGGGAGUGUGGGCAAGUGUAUCAGUCGUCCAUUGCACAAUACUGGGGUGUAACAACAGCAAGUCCUCAGUAGCAAGCAGCAACCGUCUCUCAGCUCACAAACCUGCAGGGUCCUGCCAAGCUGGACCAGGCUCAAGCCUCAGUUCUUCUGGCCCCACUGGAGUCCGGCAGGCAUCAGCAGCAGCUGCUGGUCAUCUAGGCCGGUGCUCCUCAGCGGUUAGCACGCAUUGGAAUCACCAGUGGGUGUGCUCAGCCCCAGGUCCCUGGGCCUCACCACCCGAGAUUCAGUGGCACGGAAUCCACCUCUCCUGGCUCGUUCAGGUCGGCAGGUCAGCCGGCUCUGGGCUGACCCACAAAGAGUGGGGUGCCUCAGCUCUCUGCUUGUUUUCUCACACUCCAGCAGGCCAGCUCCAGCAUGUUCUCACGGCAGUUGCAGGGGCGCUGGCCAGGUUGCAGGAGCCCCUCUGAGACGUCUGUUGUGUUACACUGGCCCACAUCCUCUGAGCCCAGAGCCCAAGUGUGUCAUGUGGCCUGGGGUGAGGCUGUGAGAGAGGGAGGAAUUGAGGCCUUCAGAGCGAGCCGCCUGCCCUGGGAGACACUGAAGAAAAUGCACUCGGACGCGGCGCCUUCGCCCAGAGCUCCCUGUCUUCAUCUCCUUGGCGCAUUGCGUGUCUAUCUCUACCCGGGCUCCCUUCUGGCCUGUGUCUUCAACACCUGCUCACUAAGGACGUCGGUUUGGCCUCCCGAACAUAUCUGACGUCCACCCGCUUCUCUCCCUUCCCACUGCAUCCCACCUGGUUUUAAGGGCUGUCACCGCUUCCUUAAACUGUUGCCACAGCCCCUGGCUUUUCCUCUUUCCCCUGAGGCGAAGCUCUGCCAGUCUGAUCUGUACCCCGCAGCGGACGUGCGUGUUCUGCAGUGCGGCCCUGAGCGUGGCACGCUCUGCUGGCGGCGCUGGCCUCCUGGUGGAGGCUCUGCUGGGCGCCCACCGGGCAGCUGUGCCAGGAAGUGCAGGGCCUCCUUCUCGCACCCAAGGAGAGCCCCCGUUUCUGCCGUUUCCACUGUGUUCUGACUCUGGCAGGGGGGACUUUUGGAAUUCAUCUUUCUCUUCCUCCUGCCGCCCCAGGUCUCUCUGGAGCCCAGCCGUUAGUCCUCUCAGGUUCUUGUUUUCCAUGUGGGGGUGGGGGCUGGGGGCUUCUAAGGAUAGGAAAGAACAAUGUAAUGAGAUGUUGCCUCAAAGAAAUAUUACCCCCAAGCCCAUCCACCACUGAAAACUACAGUUCGUGCUGUUGGCCCUCCCCUGAUGCUCCUGGCCCCUCCCCAGGGUGGCCGCACACUCCCUUCCUGGACCCCUUCCUUCUCCUCCAGCCUCUGUCCGCUCCACAGAUAGGGAGCCAGGACAGCAAGCUGGCCACGUGUAACCCGGCUUGGGGAGGAGCAGAGCUCGUCCACAUCUACCAUGGGGGCAGCCGCCUCCCAGGAACGGGCUGUGCAGGAACACGUGCCCUGUGCCGCCCAGCCCUCCAAGGAAAUCCGAGCGGCCUCCUGCUGCUACGGGGGCAGGCUCAAGGUCUGCCU
ensembl:lncRNA